CGGCGUCUAUUUUAGUUUCUUCUUUGCAAUCCUCCGUCAGUUCCAACUGAUCCGGUCUAACUAGUACUUCGUGCAACUGUCCCACCUCCAGGGGGAGAGAAGCAGGGAUCCACGACUUUCCAUAACAGCAGGAUCAGCUCCUUCUCAUCCGAGCCCAGCUUGGCCCCGGUGGCCCCAGCAGUGAUCCCAAAAAGCACCACCAAGUAAUCCGGAGAGGCCGUCAUGACGAUAGCCAGGAGCAAGGCUGCACCCCCGGGAGGCGCGCAAUGGCUGAAAGCUUUUCUGUUUUGGGAUGUGGCUCCACCUGCCCGCCCCUUCCCCCUCCCCCACGUGGUGCAGGUAAGAGACACCUGGCGGCGCCGGCCGAUUGGCUCCUUCAAACCACG